rnacentral:rRNA from 1 species
UACGGGGGGGGGCAAGCGUUGUUCGGAAUUACUGGGCGUAAAGGGCUCGUAGGCGGCCAACUAAGUCGGACGUGAAAUCCCUCGGCUUAACCGGGGAACUGCGUCCGAUACUGGAUGGCUUGAGUUUGGGAGAGGGAUGCGGAAUUCCAGGUGUAGCGGUGAAAUGCGUAGAUAUCUGGAGGAACACCGGUGGCGAAGGCGGCAUCCUGGACCAACACUGACGCUGAGGAGCGAAAGCCAGGGGAGCAAACAGG